UAGAGGCUGCAGUUGAGGCAGCUGCAGAGUUCUUGAACAAGGCAGUGAAACCAGUUAUGGUAGGUGGGCCUAAACUGCGAGUUGCACAUGCUGGUGAUGCCUUUGUUGAACUAGCUGAUGCCAGUGGUUAUGCUCUGGCUGUGAUGCCUUCAGCAAAGGGGCUUGUGCCUGAGCACCACCCUCAUUUCAUUGGGACAUAUUGGGGCGCCGUGAGCACUGCCUUUUGUGCUGAGAUUGUGGAGUCUGCAGAUGCAUACUUGUUUGCUGGACCAAUUUUCAAUGACUACAGCUCUGUUGGGUACUCUCUCCUUCUCAAGAAAGAGAAGGCAAUCAUCGUGCAGCCCGAUCGUGUGACAAUAGCAAAUGGCCCUUCAUUUGGUUGUGUUCUCAUGAAGGAUUUCCUCAGAGCACUAGCAAAGAAGCUCAACCACAACAACACUGCUCAUGAGAACUACCGCAGGAUCUUUGUUCCUGAUGGACACCCUCUAAAGUGUGCACCCAGAGAACCUUUGAGGGUUAAUGUUCUGUUUCAACAUGUCCAAAAGAUGCUGUCAAGUGAAACAGCUGUGAUUGCUGAGACAGGGGACUCAUGGUUUAACUGCCAGAAACUGAGAUUGCCGGCUGGUUGCGGGUAAGCCAAGGAUAAAAUAUGGUCUUUCAUGUUCCUUUCUAUGUUUUGGUUCAUGCUUUUAAUUGGAAUUUUGAAAUUGGCAUUGCAGGUACGAGUUCCAAAUGCAAUAUGGAUCAAUUGGUUGGUCAGUUGGAGCAACUCUUGGGUAUGCUCAGGCUGUUCCUGAGAAGCGAGUGCUUGCUUUUAUCGGUGAUGGGAGCUUUCAGGUACAUUUGAUUCCUUUUCUCAUUUUGAUCAAAGCCAAGCAUAUAAGCACGUAAAUCUCCAGAACUCUGUAGUUUACAAAUAGGAAUCUUAUAGAGAGUGGUUGUAGAAAAUUGUAUUUGAAUCUUAUAGAGAGUGGUUGUAGAAAAUUGCAUUUGAAAUGUGAAGCAAAGAUUGACAUAUUUGCGUUUCUCAGUGUUGAAGAGUUUCUUUGAGCUUCUCCUAUUUCAGACACUGAAAUCUCACAGAGAUUCCAUAAAUUUCUUACAUUUUGUUGUUUAAUGCCUAAUAGGUGACUGCCCAAGAUGUGUCGACAAUGAUUCGAAAUGGGCAGAGAACCAUCAUCUUCCUGAUAAACAAUGGUGGAUACACCAUUGAAGUAGAGAUCCAUGAUGGACCAUACAAUGUGAUCAAGAACUGGAACUACACAGGACUUGUUGAUGCCAUCCACAAUGGGGAGGGCAAGUGCUGGACAACCAAGGUGAUUA
rnacentral:lncRNA from 1 species